UUAAUGUAAUGAUUUACCAAUUCAUUUGUUCUGCUUCCUUCAACAUAAAAUGUUAUCUUUAUUCAAAGACGACAAGGCACUUCUCCAUCUACUUCUAACAUUUGACUACAAUGGUUUCUUCCUAGAUUAGUAUAGAGGGUAGAAAGAAUCAAAGAGUAGCUUAAAAAUGUUAAAGCUUAUUUCAUUUUAUACACAAUUUAUGGGGGUAGAGAUGCAUAAUGGAAAGUCAGAGAAGGAACAGUUUUAACUUGUAACCUCAAAACUUUGUAAGAUUUAUAUAGUUCAGCAGAUACAUGUUAUUUUCUCUGGAAACAUCCAUAGCAGGUUUCACAAAUGAAUAUUAUAUAACAAAGAAAACUCAAAUUUGUUUCUUUAAUCUAAAAACAACUGGCACAAAAAUACUUCAUUAACUUGAUGUGCUCUAUCCUGAGGAUAUAAGAAAAAAGUCAGUGAGUGAGAAAUUAAUGUCCACAGUGUACUCUGUCAUUUCAGCAUUCACUGCUGCCAAUAUCACUGAAAAGAAAACAAGUCUCUUAAAGGACUCAAAAAUACUCAACUGCUAAUUAGUCCCCUCCAAAGGAAAAGAGCU
rnacentral:lncRNA from 1 species